AGUCUUCGGAUUUAGAGACCGGCGCACGGGUGCGUAACGCGUAUGCAAUCUACCUUUUACAGAGGGAUAGCCCAGAGAAAUUUGGAUUAAUACCUCAUAGUAUUAUGAAAUGGCAUCAUUUUAUAAUUAAAGUCACAACGGUAAAAGAUGAGCAUGCGUCCCAUUAGCUAGUUGGUAAGGUAACGGCUUACCAAGGCUACGAUGGGUAGGGGUCCUGAGAGGGAGAUCCCCCACACUGGUACUGAGACACGGACCAGACUCCUACGGGAGGCAGCAGUGAGGAAUAUUGGACAAUGGGCGCAAGCCUGAUCCAGCCAUGCCGCGUGCAGGAUGACGGUCCUAUGGAUUGUAAACUGCUUUUGUACGAGAAGAAACACUCCUAUGUAUAGGAGCUUGACGGUAUCGUAAGAAUAAGGAUCGGCUAACUCCGUGCCAGCAGCCGCGGUAAUACGGAGGAUCCAAGCGUUAUCCGGAAUCAUUGGGUUUAAAGGGUCCGUAGGCGGUUUAAUAAGUCAGUGGUGAAAGCCCAUCGCUCAACGGUGGAACGGCCAUUGAUACUGUUAAACUUGAAUUAUUAGGAAGUAACUAGAAUAUGUAGUGUAGCGGUGAAAUGCUUAGAGAUUACAUGGAAUACCAAUUGCGAAGGCAGGUUACUACUAAUGGAUUGACGCUGAUGGACGAAAGCGUGGGUAGCGAACAGGAUUAGAUACCCUGGUAGUCCACGCCGUAAACGAUGGAUACUAGCUGUUGGAAGCAAUUUCAGUGGCUAAGCGAAAGUGAUAAGUAUCCCACCUGGGGAGUACGUUCGCAAGAAUGAAACUCAAAGGAAUUGACGGGGGCCCGCACAAGCGGUGGAGCAUGUGGUUUAAUUCGAUGAUACGCGAGGAACCUUACCAAGGCUUAAAUGUA
rnacentral:rRNA from 1 species